ACGGGUGAGUAACACGUGGGAACCUUCCUAGAGGUACGGAACAACGCAGGGAAACUUGCGCUAAUACCGUAUAAGCUCUUGCGAGGAAAGAUUUAUCGCCUUUAGACGGGCCCGCGUAGGAUUAGGUAGUUGGUGGGGUAACGGCCUACCAAGCCUACGAUCCUUAGCUGAUCUGAGAGGAUGAUCAGCCACACUGGAACUGAGACACGGUCCAGACUCCUACGGGAGGCAGCAGUGGGGAAUCUUGGACAAUGGGCGCAAGCCUGAUCCAGCCAUGCCGCGUGAGUGAAGAAGGCCUUCGGGUUGUAAAGCUCUUUUGUCAGGGACGAUAAUGACGGUACCUGAAGAAUAAGCCCCGGCAAACUUCGUGCCAGCAGCCGCGGUAAUACGAAGGGGGCUAGCGUUGUUCGGAUUUACUGGGCGUAAAGCGCACGUAGGUGGAUUGUUAAGUGAGAGGUGAAAUCCCAGGGCUCAACCCUGGAACUGCCUUUCAUACUGGCAAUCCUGAGUUCGGAAGAGGUGAGUGGAAUUCCAAGU
rnacentral:rRNA from 1 species